CAUGCAGUCGAACGGUAGCACAGAGAGCUUGCUCUUGGGUGACGAGUGGCGGACGGGCCAUUUAUGUCUGGGAAACUGCCCGAUGGAGGGGGAUAACUACUGCAUUCGGUAGCUAAUACCGCAUAACGUCGCAAGACCAAAGUGGGGGACCUUCGGGCCUCACACCAUCGGAUGUGCCCAGAUGGGAUUAGCUAGUUGGUGAGGUAAUGGCUCACCAAGGCGACGAUCCCUAGCUGGUCUGAGAGGAUGACCAGCCACACUGGAACUGAGACACGGUCCAGACUCCUACGGGAGGCAGCAGUGGGGAAUAUUGCACAAUGGGCGCAAGCCUGAUGCAGCCAUGCCGCGUGUAUGAAGAAGGCCUUCGGGUUGUAAAGUACUUUCAGCGAGGAGGAAGGCAUUAAGGUUAAUAACCUUAGUGAUA
rnacentral:rRNA from 1 species